GUGCCCACUUUAGCAGAAUGAUUAUUAAAAUUGAAACAAUACAGACAAGAUAAGUGUGAUCCCUACACAAGUAUGACACAUAAAUUCAUGAAGCAUUCCAUAUUUUU
ensembl:snRNA U6 U6 spliceosomal RNA